GCGGAGGAAAAGAAACCAACAGGGAUUGCCCUAGUAACGGCGAGUGAAGCGGCAACAGCUCAAAUUUGAAAUCUGGCGUCUUCGGCGUCCGAGUUGUAAUUUGCAGAGGGCGCUUUGGCAUUGGCAGCGGUCCAAGUUCCUUGGAACAGGACGUCACAGAGGGUGAGAAUCCCGUACGUGGUCGCUAGCCUUUACCGUGUAAAGCCCCUUCGACGAGUCGAGUUGUUUGGGAAUGCAGCUCUAAAUGGGAGGUAAAUUUCUUCUAAAGCUAAAUACUGGCCAGAGACCGAUAGCGCACAAGUAGAGUGAUCGAAAGAUGAAAAGCACUUUGGAAAGAGAGUUAAAAAGCACGUGAAAUUGUUGAAAGGGAAGCGCUUGCAGCCAGACUUGCCUGUAGUUGCUCAUCCGGGUUUCUACCCGGUGCACUCUUCUAUAGGCAGGCCAGCAUCAGUUUGGGCGGUUGGAUAAAGGUCUCUGUCAUGUACCUCUCUUCGGGGAGAACUUAUAGGGGAGACGACAUGCAACCAGCCUGGACUGAGGUCCGCGCAUCUGCUAGGAUGCUGGCGUAAUGGCUGUAAGCGGCCCGUCUUGAAACACGGACCAAGGAGUCUAACAUCUAUGCGAGUGUUUGGGUGUCAAGCCCGAGCGCGUAAUGAAAGUGAACGGAGGUGGGAACCUUUCGGGGUGCACCAUCGACCGAUCCUGAUGUCUUCGGAUGGAUUUGAGUAAGAGCAUAGCUGUUGGGACCCGAAAGAUGGUGAACUAUGCUUGAAUAGGGUGAAGCCAGAGGAAACUCUGGUGGAGGCUCGCAGCGGUUCUGACGUGCAAAUCGAUCGUCAAAUUUGGGCAUAGGGGCGAAAGACUAAUCGAACUAUCUAGUAGCUGGUUCCUG
rnacentral:sRNA from 2 species